rnacentral:rRNA from 1 species
GACGAACGCUGGCGGCGUGCCUAAUACAUGCAAGUAGAACGCACAGUUUAUACCGUAGCUUGCUACACCAUAGACUGUGAGUUGCGAACGGGUGAGUAACGCGUAGGUAACCUGCCUGGUAGCGGGGGAUAACUAUUGGAAACGAUAGCUAAUACCGCAUAAUAUUAAUUAUUGCAUGAUAAUUAAUUGAAAGGUGCAAUUGCACCACUACCAGAUGGACCUGCGUUGUAUUAGCUAGUAGGUGAGGUAACGGCUCACCUAGGCGACGAUACAUAGCCGACCUGAGAGGGUCAUCGGCCACACUGGGACUGAGACACGGCCCAGACUCCUACGGGAGGCAGCAGUAGGGAAUCUUCGGCAAUGGACGAAAGUCUGACCGAGCAACGCCGCGUGAGUGAAGAAGGUUUUCGGAUCGUAAAGCUCUGUUGUAAGAGAAGAACGGGUGUGAGAGUGGAAAGUUCACACUGUGACGGUAUCUUACCAGAAAGGGACGGCUAACUACGUG